rnacentral:rRNA from 1 species
GAUGAACGCUGGCGGCGUGCCUAAUACAUGCAAGUCGAGCGAACGGACGAGAAGCUUGCGUCUCUGAUGUUAGCGGCGGACGGGUGAGUAACACGUGGAUAACCUACCUAUAAGACUGGGAUAACUUCGGGAAACCGUAGCUAAUACCGGAUAAUAUUUUGAACCGCAUGGUUCAAAAGUGAAAGACGGUCUUGCUGUCACUAAUAGCUGGAUCCGCGCUGCAUUAGCUAGUUGGUAAGGUAACGGCUUACCAAGGCAACGAUGCAUAGCCGACCUGAGAGGGUGAUCGGCCACACUGGAACUGAGACACGGUCCAGACUCCUACGGGAGGCAGCAGUAGGGAAUCUUCCGCAAUGGGCGAAAGCCUGACGGAGCAACACCGCGUGAGUGAUGAAGGUCUUCGGAUCGUAAAGCUCUGUUAUUAGGAAAGAACAUAUGUGUAAGUAACUGUGCACAUCUUGACGGUACCUAAUGAAAAAGCCCCGGCUAACUACGUG